rnacentral:rRNA from 1 species
GACGAACGCUGGCGGCGUGCUUAACACAUGCAAGUCGAACGGAAAGGCCCUGCUUUUGUGGGGUGCUCGAGUGGCGAACGGGUGAGUAACACGUGAGUAACCUGCCCUUGACUUUGGGAUAACUUCAGGAAACUGGGGCUAAUACCGGAUAGGAGCUCCUGCUGCAUGGUGGGGGUUGGAAAGUUUCGGCGGUUGGGGAUGGACUCGCGGCUUAUCAGCUUGUUGGUGGGGUAGUGGCUUACCAAGGCUUUGACGGGUAGCCGGCCUGAGAGGGUGACCGGCCACAUUGGGACUGAGAUACGGCCCAGACUCCUACGGGAGGCAGCAGUGGGGAAUAUUGCACAAUGGGCGGAAGCCUGAUGCAGCAACGCCGCGUGCGGGAUGACGGCCUUCGGGUUGUAAACCGCUUUCGCCUGUGACGAAGCGUGAGUGACGGUAAUGGGUAAAGAAGCACCGGCUAACUACGUGCCAGCAGCCGCGGUGAUACGUAGGGUGCGAGCGUUGUCCGGAUUUAUUGGGCGUAAAGGGCUCGUAGGUGGUUGAUCGCGUCGGAAGUGUAAUCUUGGGGCUUAACCCUGAGCGUGCUUUCGAUACGGGUUGACUUGAGGAAGGUAGGGGAGAAUGGAAUUCCUGGUGGAGCGGUGGAAUGCGCAGAUAUCAGGAGGAACACCAGUGGCGAAGGCGGUUCUCUGGGCCUUUCCUGACGCUGAGGAGCGAAAGCGUGGGGAGCGAACAGGCUUAGAUACCCUGGUAGUCCACGCUGUAAACGGUGGGUACUAGGUGUGGGGUCCAUUCCACGGGUUCCGUGCCGUAGCUAACGCUUUAAGUACCCCGCCUGGGGAGUACGGCCGCAAGGCUAAAACUCAAAGGAAUUGACGGGGCCCCGCACAAGCGGCGGAGCAUGCGGAUUAAUUCGAUGCAACGCGUAGAACCUUACCUGGGUUUGACAUGGAUCGGGAGCGCUCAGAGAUGGGUGUGCCUCUUUUGGGGUCGGUUCACAGGUGGUGCAUGGCUGUCGUCAGCUCGUGUCGUGAGAUGUUGGGUUAAGUCCCGCAACGAGCGCAACCCUUGUUCACUGUUGCCAGCACGUUAUGGUGGGGACUCAGUGGAGACCGACGGGGUCAACUCGGAGGAAGGUGGGGAUGACGUCAAGUCAUCAUGCCCCUUAUGUCCAGGGCUUCACGCAUGCUACAAUGGCUGGUACAGAGAGUGGCGAGCCUGUGAGGGUGAGCGAAUCUCGGAAAGCCGGUCUCAGUUCGGAUUGGGGUCUGCAACUCGACCUCAUGAAGUCGGAGUCGCUAGUAAUCGCAGAUCAGCAACGCUGCGGUGAAUACGUUCCCGGG